rnacentral:rRNA from 1 species
UACGAGGGGGGCAAAUGUUGUUCGGAUUCACUGGGUUUAAAGGGUGCGUAGGUGGGCAAGUAAGUCAGUGGUGAAAUCUCCGGGCUUAACCCGGAAACUGCCAUUGAUACUAUUUGUCUUGAAUACUGUGGAGGUCAGCGGAAUAUGUCAUGUAGCGGUGAAAUGCUUGGAUAUGACAUAGAACACCAAUUGCGAAGGCAGCUGGCUACACAAAUAUUGACACUGAGGCACGAAAGCGUGGGGAUCAAACAGG